ensembl:lncRNA
ACACCUCUUCAAAGAUUUGUUUGCUAGCCAUGUGCUUGCUAGAAUUAUUUAUUUAUGCUCAAAGUUAGCUAGAAUUGUCACUACCGAAACAGUCACUACCAAAACAUAUGGUAAAGUUCCGGUAGUGACAUGAUCGUUUCGGUAGUGACAAAAUGGAAUGGUAAGUAGUUCAAUCCCAUCAUUUUGAAAUAAAUGUGUUAUGUGGACUAAAUGGUAAACAUGUAGAUAAUGCUGGAGAGAAAGAAUCAUAAGACACCAAAAUGCCAAAAGGAAAAAGUGGAGCACAGAGGCUGAGAGAAUACCGACAAAGAGUGAGGGAUGACCCAGUGAAACACCAAGAAUAUUUAAGGAAGGAAAGAGAAAGAAAUAAGAAACGAAAGGAAGAAGGAAAGUUGAAAUGUAUCAGUGAUUUAUCCAACAGGGAGCAAAAGAAGGCCAGAAAAUCAUGGAGCAAAAGACAGCAAAAGCACAAAACAUUUGUGUUUUUAAUAUUCCCAACCUAAAGCAUGGUAUGAGUUAAGAUUAAGCAAUAAGGUUGAGGAAAUAUGAUACAACCUUGCAAACAAAAUACUGUGGUCACUACCGAAACAGUGCAGUCACUACCGAAACAGUGCAGUCACUACCGAAACACUGGAUGUUUUGUAAAAAAUAAAGUAUAUUGAGUUAUCAACUAAAAUGUUAUGAUACUGAUUGGUUUAAUGUAUGUUAAAUUUCAUCAAUCAUCAACUCUGGAAUCAAUAUGAUCAGUAUUUUGCAUUUUACAAAGAAAUAUUGCACUUAGAUUUUGAUGAAUUGUAUAAAUUGAACUUUGAAAUUUGGUAAAAAUUUCAUUUUUAUUGAUUUCAUUGUGAAAACCUUCAAGAAAUAUUUGUAAAAAUACUCUUCAGAAAAGGGAAGGAAACACAAUCUGAACAGGUUAAUAAUAAUACGUUUUUACUAUAGUUUAUUACUAUGUUUCGGUAGUAAACAUUUUUGGGAGAGGAAAAACAUUCCAACACAUUCUGAAAAUACAAUAUAAAAAUUGACGGUUCAUUUACUAGAUAUGUGUACUUUAGAUAUGGUACAAUAUAUAUA